rnacentral:rRNA from 1 species
UACGUAGGGGGCAAGCGUUGUCCGGAUUUAUUGGGCGUAAAGAGCGUGUAGGCGGCUAGAUAGGUCCGUUGUGAAAACUCGAGGCUCAACCUCGAGACGUCGAUGGAAACAAUCUGGCUAGAGUCCGGAAGAGGAGAGUGGAAUUCCUAGUGUAGCGGUGGAAUGCGCAGAUAUCAGGAGGAACACCGGUGGCGAAGGCGGGUCUCUGGGCCGAUACUGACACUGAGAAGCGAAAGCGUGGGGAGCGAACAGG